ACGGAGGGUGCAAGCGUUGUUCGGAAUUAUUGGGCGUAAAGGGCGCGUAGGCGGUAAUGUAAGUCAGAUGUGAAAUACUUCGGCUCAACUGAAGAACUGCAUCUGAAACUGCAUAACUAGAGUACAGAAGAGGGAAACGGAAUUCCCGGUGUAGAGGUGCAAGUCGUAGAGAUCGGGAGGAAAAGCAGUGGCGAAGGCGGUUACCUGGUCUGAAGCUGGCGCUGAGGCAAGGAAAUGUGUGUAGCAAACAG
rnacentral:rRNA from 1 species